rnacentral:rRNA from 1 species
UGAAAGCUGGCGUCUUCGGCGUCCGCAUUGUAAUCUCAAGAAGUGUUUUCCGCUUCGGACCAAGCCUAAGUCCCUUGGAAAAGGGCAUCAUAGAGGGUGAUAAUCCCGUACAUGGCUUGGAGCGCCCGAAGCUUUGUGAUACGCUUUCUAAGAGUCGAGUUGUUUGGGAAUGCAGCUCAAAAUGGGUGGUAAAUUCCAUCUAAGGCUAAAUAUUGGGGAGAGACCGAUAGCGAACAAGUACAGUGAUGGAAAGAUGAAAAGAACUUUGAAAAGAGAGUUAAACAGUACGUGAAAUUGCCAAAAGGGAAGGGUAGGAGGUCAGAGAUGCGGCCUGGGAUUCAGCCUUGCUUUUGCUUGGUGUUUUUCCCAGAUUGCAGGCCAACGUCGGUUUUGGGCACUGGAGAAGGGUAGGAGGAACGUGGCACCUCUCGGGGUGUGUUAUAGCCUCCUACUGGAUACAGCGACCGAGACCGAGGACAGCAGCGUACUCGCAAGAGCGGGCCUUCGGGCACCUUUACGCUUAGGGCGUUGGCAUAAUGGCCCUCUACCACC